rnacentral:rRNA from 1 species
UACGUAGGGUGCAAGCGUUGUCCGGAAUUAUUGGGCGUAAAGGGCUCGUAGGCGGUCCAUCGCGUCGGGAGUGAAAAGCUAGGGCUUAACCCCAGUCCUGCUUCCGAUACGGGGUGGACUAGAGGUAGGUAGGGGAGAACGGAAUUCCUGGUGUAGCGGUGAAAUGCGCAGAUAUCAGGAGGAACACCGGUGGCGAAGGCAGCCCCCUGGGCCAAUACUGACGCUCAUGCACGAAAAGCGUGGGGAGCAAACAGG